AUGUCCGGAGCGGGAGGCAAGUGGAUGGCCUCCUCCGUCACGGAGGGGCACAUCCAAAAGCUGCGCAGCGCCGGAUAUUUGUCCAGCAACAUCGCGCACCGGCUCCCCAACGAGGGAGAGCUCAUCCCCACCCCCAGGCCCCAUGAGAGGGUAGUAUUUUUUCCCCAUUUCCUACGUGUACUGGGCUUCCCACUCCAUCACUUUGUCCGGGGGCUCAUGUUCUACUACGGCCUGGAUUUCCAUGAUCUGGCCCCGAAUUUCAUCCUCAACAUCUCGGCGUUCAUCGUCGUGUGUGAUGCCUUCCUCUUCAUCCAGCCCCACUUCGGCUUGUGGCACAAGACCUUCAGUAUCAAGCCGAAAGUUGUGAAGGGCAGUCAAGCGGAGUGCGUAGGCGCCAUGGUGGGCAGGAUGUCCAAAGUUACUUGGCUUGAGGGCACUUUCGUGGAAACCAUUAAGGGGUGGCAAUCGGGGUGGUUCUACAUCACCGAGCCGCGUGACCCUGAAUGGUCAGCGGCCCCCGAAUUGAGAUCUGGCAUCCCCACACGGCUCACCUCCUAG
rnacentral:rRNA from 1 species